UACGUAGGGGGCUAGCGUUGUCCGGAAUCAUUGGGCGUAAAGCGCGUGUAGGCGGUUCGGUAAGUCCGCUGUGAAAGUCGGGGGCUCAACCCUCGAAAGCCGGUGGAUACUGUCGGACUAGAGUGCGGAAGAGGCGAGUGGAAUCCUGGUGUAGCGGUGAAAUGCGCAGAUAUCAGGAGGAACACCAAUUGCGAAGGCAGCUCGCUGGGACGUUACUGACGCUGAGACGCGAAAGCGUGGGUAGCAAACAGG
rnacentral:rRNA from 1 species